GGGCCCGCACAAGCGGUGGAGCAUGUGGUUUAAUUCGAUGCAACGCGAAGAACCUUACCUACACUUGACAUGCUGAGAAGUUACUAGAGAUAGAUUGGUGCCUUCGGGAACACUGAGACAGGUGCUGCAUGGCUGUCGUCAGCUCGUGUUGUGAGAUGUUGGGUUAAGUCCCGCAACGAGCGCAACCCUUAUCCUUAGUUGCCAGCGAUUCGGUCGGGAACUCUGGGGAGACUGCCGGUGAUAAACCGGAGGAAGGUGGGGACGACGUCAAGUCAUCAUGGCCCUUACGGGAUGGGCUACACACGUGCUACAAUGGCGCGUACAAAGGGCAGCGAACCUGCGAGGGUAAGCGAAUCUCAUAAAGCGCGUCGUAGUCCGGAUUGGAGUCUGCAACUCGACUCCAUGAAGUCGGAAUCGCUAGUAAUCG
rnacentral:rRNA from 1 species